rnacentral:rRNA from 1 species
GACGAACGCUGGCGGCGUGCCUAAUACAUGCAAGUAGAACGCUGAAGAGAGGAGCUUGCUCUUCUUGGAUGAGUUGCGAACGGGUGAGUAACGCGUAGGUAACCUGCCUUGUAGCGGGGGUUAACUAUUGGAAACGAUAGCUAAUACCGCAUAACAAUGGAUGACACAUGUCAUUUAUUUGAAAGGGGCAAUUGUUCCACUACAAGAUGGACCUGCGUUGUAUUAGCUAGUAGGUGAGGUAAUGGCUCACCUAGGCGACGAUAAAUAGCCGACCUGAGAGGGUGAUCGGCCAAACUGGGACUGAGACACGGCCCAGACUCCUACGGGAGGCAGCAGUAGGGAAUCUUCGGCAAUAGGGGCAACCCUGACCGAGCAACGCCGCGUGAGUGAAGAAGGUUUUCGGAUCGUAAAGCUCUGUUGUAAGUCAAGAACGGGUGUGAGAGUGGAAAGUUCGCACUGUGACGGUAGCUUACCAGAAAGGGACGGCUAACUACGUG